CUGAGUACGGCGGAACACGUGAAAUUCCGUCGGAAUCCGGGAGGACCAUCUCCCAAGGCUAAAUACUCCCUAGUGACCGAUAGUGAACCAGUACCGUGAGGGAAAGGUGAAAAGCACCCCGGAAGGGGAGUGAAACAGUUCCUGAAACCGUGUGCCUACAAGUAGUUAGAGCCCGUUAAUGGGUGAUAGCGUGCCUUUUGUAGAAUGAACCGGCGAGUUACGAUUUGUUGCAAGGUUAAGCGGAAAAAGCGGAGCCGUAGCGAAAGCGAGUCUGAAUAGGGCGCAUAAGUAACAGGUCGUAGACCCGAAACCAGGUGAUCUACCCAUGUCCAGGAUGAAGGUAAGGUAAUACUUACUGGAGGUCCGAACCCACGCACGUUGAAAAGUGCGGGGAUGAGGUGUGGGUAGCGGAGAAAUUCCAAUCGAACUUGGAGAUAGCUGGUUCUCUCCGAAAUAGCUUUAGGGCUAGCCUCGAGGUAAAGAGUCAUGGAGGUAGAGCACUGUUUGGACUAGGGGCCCUUCUCGGGUUACCGAAUUCAGAUAAACUCCGAAUGCCAUGUACUUAUACUCGGGAGUCAGACUGCGAGUGAUAAGAUCCGUAGUCGAAAGGGAAACAGCCCAGACCACCAGUUAAGGUCCCCAAAUAUAUGUUAAGUGGAAAAGGAUGUGGGGUUGCUUAGACAACCAGGAUGUUGGCUUAGAAGCAGCCACCAUUGAAAGAGUGCGUAAUAGCUCACUGGUCGAGUGACCCCGCGCCGAAAAUGUACCGGGGCUAAACAUAUUACCGAAACUGUGGAUGAACCUCUUUAGAGGUUCGUGGUAGGAGAGCGUUCUAAGGGCGGUGAAGUCAGACCGGAAGGACUGGUGGAGCGCUUAGAAGUGAGAAUGCCGGUAUGAGUAGCGAAAGAAGGGUGAGAAUCCCUUCCACCGAAUAUCUAAGGUUUCCUGAGGAAGGCUCGUCCGCUCAGGGUUAGUCGGGACCUAAGCCGAGGCCGAUAGGCGUAGGCGAUGGACAACAGGUAGAGAUUCCUGUACCAGUGCUAAUUGUUUAACCGAUGGGGUGACACAGAAGGAUAGGGAAUCGCACGAAUGGAAAUGUGCGUCCAAGCAGUGAGUGUGAGAAGUAGGCAAAUCCGCUUCUCGCGAAGCAUGAGCUGUGAUGGGGAAGGAAAUUAAGUACGGAAGUUCCUGAUUUCACGCUGUCAAGAAAAGCCUCUAGGAAGAGUAGUACUGCCCGUACCGCAAACCGACACAGGUAGAUGAGGAGAGAAUCCUAAGGUGAGCGAGAGAACUCUCGUUAAGGAACUCGGCAAAAUGACCCCGUAACUUCGGGAGAAGGGGUGCUCUAUUAGGGUGCAAGCCCGAGAGAGCCGCAGUGAAUAGGCCCAGGCGACUGUUUAGCAAAAACACAGGUCUCUGCAAAACCGUAAGGUGACGUAUAGGGGCUGACGCCUGCCCGGUGCUGGAAGGUUAAGAGGAGUGCUUAGCUUCGGCGAAGGUACGAAUUGAAGCCCCAGUAAACGGCGGCCGUAACUAUAACGGUCCUAAGGUAGCGAAAUUCCUUGUCGGGUAAGUUCCGACCCGCACGAAAGGCGCAACGAUCUGGGCACUGUCUCAACGAGAGACUCGGUGAAAUUAUAGUACCUGUGAAGAUGCAGGUUACCCGCGACAGGACGGAAAGACCCCGUGGAGCUUUACUGCAACCUGAUAUGGAAUGUUUGUACCGCUUGUACAGGAUAGGUAGGAGCCGAAGAGACGUGUGCGCUAGCAUACGAGGAGGCAAUGGUGGGAUACUACCCUGGCUGUAUGACCAUUCUAACCCGCCACGCUUAGCGCGUGGGGAGACAGUGUCAGGUGGGCAGUUUGACUGGGGCGGUCGCCUCCUAAAGAGUAACGGAGGCGCCCAAAGGUUCCCUCAGAAUGGAUGGAAAUCAUUCGCAGAGUGUAAAGGCACAAGGGAGCUUGACUGCGAGACUGACAAGUCGAGCAGGGACGAAAGUCGGGCUUAGUGAUCCGGUGGUUCCGCAUGGAAGGGCCAUCGCUCAACGGAUAAAAGCUACCCCGGGGAUAACAGGCUUAUCUCCCCCAAGAGUCCACAUCGACGGGGAGGUUUGGCACCUCGAUGUCGGCUCGUCGCAUCCUGGGGCUGUAGUCGGUCCCAAGGGUUGGGCUGUUCGCCCAUUAAAGCGGCACGCGAGCUGGGUUCAGAACGUCGUGAGACAGUUCGGUCCCUAUCCGUCGCGGGCGCAGGAAAUUUGAGAGGAGCUGUCCUUAGUACGAGAGGACCGGGAUGGACACACCGCUGGUGUACCAGUUGUUCCGCCAGGAGCAUCGCUGGGUAGCUAUGUGUGGCAGGGAUAAACGCUGAAAGCAUCUAAG
rnacentral:rRNA from 1 species